CCUACGGGAGGCAGCAGUGAGGAAUAUUGGUCAAUGGGCGCGAGCCUGACCCAGCCACGUAGCGUGAAGGAUGACUGCCCUACGGGUUGUAAACUUCUUUUAUAAAGGAAUAAAGUGAGGCACGUGUGCCUUUUUGUAUGUACUUUAUGAAUAAGGAUCGGCUAACUCCGUGCCAGCAGCAGCGGUACUACGGAGGAUACGCGCGUUAUGCGGAUUUAUUGGGUUUAAAGGGAGCGUAGAUGGGUUGUUAAGUCAGUUGUGAAAGUUUGCGGCUCAACCGUAGAAUUGCAAUUGAUACUGGCAGUCUUGAGUACAGUCGAGGUAGGCGGAAUUCGUGGUGUAGCGGUGAAAUGCGUAGAGAUCACGAAGAACUCCGAUUGCGAAGGCAGCUUACUAAACUGCCACUGACAUUGAGGCUCGAAAGUGUGGGGAGCAAACAGGAUUAGAUACCCGAGUAGUC
rnacentral:rRNA from 1 species